GGGGAAUAUUGGACAAUGGGCGAAAGCCUGAUCCAGCCAUGCCGCGUGUGUGAAGAAGGUCUUCGGAUUGUAAAGCACUUUAAGUUGGGAGGAAGGGUUGUAGAUUAAUACUCUGCAAUUUUGACGUUACCGACAGAAUAAGCACCGGCUAACUUCGUGCCAGCAGCCGCGGUAAUACGAAGGGUGCAAGCGUUAAUCGGAAUUACUGGGCGUAAAGCGCGCGUAGGUGGUUCGUUAAGUUGGAUGUGAAAGCCCCGGGCUCAACCUGGGAACUGCAGCCAAAACUGGCGGGGGUGAGUACGGUAGAGGGUGGUGGAAUUUCCUGGGGAGCGGGGGAAUGCGUUGGUAUAGGAAGGAAAACCAGGGGCGAAGGCCGCCACCCGGAAUGAUUCUGACACUGAGGUGCGAAAGCGUGGGGGGCAAACA
rnacentral:rRNA from 1 species